AGAAAAGUUCAUAUUUACUUUCCUUUCUGAAAUAUAAGUACGAGAAUAACAAAAUCGUGCAAUAAUUAUACUGAUUGAAAGUUAUCUCAGGAAGAGAAAUCAAUUGUUUAUUACAUUUUUUUGAAGAAAAGGAAGUAUUCCAUUUUGAACAAUAAUUGAUUAGCGGAAUGAUGCAGUAAUUUCAAUAUAUUUUCCAUACAACAUUUAGAUUUAACAUUAACUCUUGGUACUCGGCAUAUCAAUUAUACUGGCAUGAAUACUUUUUCAUCGUCGUAUGGAACUACAUAUUUUUUUUCUCUAAUGUUUAUUAGCUUUUGCAGAAAGGCUAUUUAACAACUAAAAACGAGUCUUCGUUGCACUCUUAUCAUCCCCACUACAAAGAAGUUACCCUGAC
rnacentral:misc_RNA from 1 species